GGGGCCGAUCGGAUUCGACCGGGCAGGGAAGGCCUGCGGUGGCGCGUCGUGGGGCGUGCUGGCCACGUAAAAAGCACGCACUCUUUAUAACUGCCGAACCGCAGUACGCUCUGGCGGCGUAACGCCGUCUGUCCCCCGCCUGACGCCCGAUGGGGCGGGGGACAACGACAUCGGGCUGGUCGACGCGUGGUGCAACCGGGCGCGUCGGCGAGGAGGUUCACCGGGAGCUGGGCCGACAGGGAGGGUGUCCGUUCUCGCCCUUGACGCCGAGAUCAAACGACGGACUACACGCGUAGAGGCCGCUUGCUGACUGUCACGGGACGGGGGUUCGAUUCCCCCCGGCUCCAUUG
rnacentral:tmRNA from 1 species